AAUAAGUGCAGUUUUACACUAUUCACGUUCAACGUUUGACCGUCCGUCUUAUUUGAAAAUUUUUUAUGAUUAGUAUUUUUGUUGCUAUUAGAUGAUAAAACAUAAAUAGUACUUUAUGUGUGACUAAAUGCUUUUAAUUUUUUCACAAAUUUUUCAAAUAAGACGGACAGUCAAACGUUGAACGUGAAUAGUGUAAAACUGCACUUAUU
rnacentral:pre_miRNA from 1 species